rnacentral:rRNA from 1 species
GAUGAACGCUGGCGGCGUGCCUAAUACAUGCAAGUCGAGCGAAGCGGGGACGGGGGAGUAACACGUGGAUAACCUCCUAUAAGACUGGGAUAACUUAGGGAAACCGGAGCUAAACCGGAUACUUAGAGAUGGAUCAGGGCUGCAUUAGCUGGUUGGUAGGGUAACGGCUUACCAAGGCAACGAUGCAUAGCCGACCGGCGAGGGUGAUCGGCCCCACUGGACCUGAGCCACGGUCCCGACUCCUACGGGAGGCAGCAGUAGGGAAUCUUCCGCAAUGGGCGCAAGCCUUACGGAGCAACGCCGCGUGAGUGAUGAAGGUCUUCGGGUCGUAAAACUCUGUUAUUAGGGAAGCGGUACCUAAUCAGAAAGCCCCGGCUAACUACGUGCCAGCAGCCGCGGUAAUUC